AUUGAACGCUGGCGGCAUGCUUUACACAUGCAAGUCGAACGGCAGCACGGGUGCUUGCACCUGGUGGCGAGUGGCGAACGGGUGAGUAAUGCAUCGGAACGUGCCCAUGAGUGGGGGAUAGCCCGGCGAAAGCCGGAUUAAUACCGCAUACGCCCUUAGGGGGAAAGCGGGGGAUCUUCGGACCUCGCGCUAUUGGAGCGGCCGAUGUCGGAUUAGCUAGUAGGUGAGGUAAAGGCUCACCUAGGCGACGAUCCGUAGCUGGUCUGAGAGGAUGGUCAGCCACACUGGGACUGAGACACGGCCCAGACUCCUACGGGAGGCAGCAGUGGGGAAUUUUGGACAAUGGGCGCAAGCCUGAUCCAGCCAUGCCGCGUGAGUGAAGAAGGCCU
rnacentral:rRNA from 1 species